CAGGACCAACACUCUGGACAGCAAACGGGUGAGAGAGAGCGGGAGAGAGAGAAAUAGACAGUGGGAGAGAGAGAGAGAGAGAGACAGGACCAACACACUGGACAGCAAACGGGUGAGAGAGAGCAGGAGAGAGAGAGAUAGACAGUGGGAGAGGGAGAGAGAGAGAAACAGGGGGAAAGGGGAGAGAGGGAGAGAGAGAGAUGGAGAUAUACACUACCCGUCAACAGUUUUAGAACACCUACUCAUUCAAGGGUUUUUCUUUAUUUGGACUAUUUUCUACAUUGUAGAAUAAUAGUGAAGACAUCAACACUAUGAAAUAACACAUUUGGAAUCAUGUAGUAACCAAAAAAGUGUUAAACAAAUCCAAAUAUAUUUUAUAUUUAGCCAUCCUUUGCCUUGAUGACAGCUUUCCACACUCUUGGCAUUCUCUGAAC
ensembl:lncRNA